rnacentral:rRNA from 1 species
GAUGAACGCUGGCGGCGUGCCUAAUACAUGCAAGUCGAGCGAACAGACGAGGAGCUUGCUCCUCUGACGUUAGCGGCGGACGGGUGAGUAACACGUGGAUAACCUACCUAUAAGACUGGGAUAACUUCGGGAAACCGGAGCUAAUACCGGAUAAUAUAUUGAACCGCAUGGUUCAAUAGUGAAAGACGGUGUUGCUGUCACUUAUAGAUGGAUCCGCGCCGCAUUAGCUAGUUGGUAAGGUAACGGCUUACCAAGGCAACGAUGCGUAGCCGACCUGAGAGGGUGAUCGGCCACACUGGAACUGAGACACGGUCCAGACUCCUACGGGAGGCAGCAGUAGGGAAUCUGCCGCAAAGGGCGAAAGCCUGACGGAGCAACGCCGCGUGAGUGAUGAAGGUCUUCGGAGCGUAAAACUCUGUUAUUAGGGAAGAACAAAUGUGUAAGUAACUAUGCACGUCUUGACGGUACCUAAUCAGAAAGCCACGGCUAACUACGUG